GUAAGGAAUAUUGGACAAUGGGGGAAACCCUGAUCCAGCCAUGCCGCGUGAGUGAAGAAGGCCUUCGGGUUGUAAAGCUCUUUCAGAUGUGAAGAUGAUGACGGUAACAUCAGAAGAAGCUCCGGCUAACUUCGUGCCAGCAGCCGCGGUAAUACGAAGGGAGCGAGCGUUGUUCGGAAUCACUGGGCGUAAAGAGUGCGUAGGCGGUUAUACAAGUCAGGAGUGAAAUCCCAGGGCUCAACCCUGGAAUUGCUUUUGAAACUGUAUAGCUAGAGUCCCGGAGGGGUUAAUGGAAUUCCGAGUGUAGAGGUGAAAUUCGCAGAUAUUCGGAGGAACACCAGUGGCGAAGGCGAUUAACUGGACGGGCACUGACGCUGAGGCACGAAAGCGUGGGGAUCAAACAGGAUUAGAAACCCGGGUAGUCC
rnacentral:rRNA from 1 species